CCAAUCCAUGUCAAAUUGCUUGUUUUAAAAGGUCAAAAUUUAUUUUUUCAUGAAGAAUUCUUUUUCCUUUAAAAUUUUCAAAAUUCUUUGUGCCAACGGUUUCUUGAGUGCAAGAAACUGCUACCAUCAAUCAAUCACUCUCUGCAGCAAUUAAAUUUCUUUUUCCCAUUAUCAGUUACAAGAAACCCCAAGUCCUCUCAAACCUACGAAUCCCUAACUCAUCAUCUCUCUAUUUUCUGUUUUCUUUUACCCGAAACCUUCAAAACCUCAACUGAUGAAGAAUAAAAUCUGUUUUCUUUUAGCCGAAAUCUUCAAAACUCUCCCAUGGCCAAAACGAAACAACCAAUCGAUCCCCAAAUGAAAGGAAAGAAAAGCAGGUGUAGAAGAAGAACGCUCGACUGAUGAAGAAGAAAACUUGAUUGACAUUUUGAAGAAGCGGCAGCCACCAUAUUCACUCCCAGGUAUUCUCAAUUCGCGGAAAUUCGACAGUUGUCCGGGUCUGUGAAUUUUCGGCCAGACAGACCCGCUACCGGAAAAGUCUCCGAAUUGGAUCGAGGUUUUGGCUACCCCACCAUUGUCAGACAUCCCGAGCGCGUUCCCGAAGUCGGAAUAGGCAAAGGUGAGCCGGGACAGCCUUCUUCCUCCGCCCAGCCGCCCCAGUGACCGUUGUCAAGUCUGCCACAGGAGGAUAUUUUUGAAGUUAACCUGCUUUUCUCCAUCGCAGGUCGUUUUCUAAUGUUAGUGUAAUUCUAUAAACUUCC